GCCCAUGUAGCUCAGUUGGUAGAGCAAUACUUUCGUAAAGUAUAGGCCGUCAGUUCGAAUCUGACCUUGGGCU
rnacentral:tRNA from 1 species